CCGUCAAUUCAUUUGAGUUUCAACCUUGCGGCCGUACUCCCCAGGUGGAUUACUUAUUGCUUUUGCUUAGCCGCUGACAGUGUAUCGCCAACAGCGAGUAAUCAUCGUUUACGGCGUGGACUACCAGGGUAUCUAAUCCUGUUCGAUCCCCACGCUUUCGUGCCUCAGCGUCAGUGUCGGCUCAGUAAGCUGCCUACGCAAUUGGUGUUCUGUGUAAUAUCUAAGCAUUUCACCGCUACAUUACACAUUCCGCCUACCUUAACCAAACUCAAGGCUAUCAGUAUCAAUGGCAGUUCUGCAGUUAAGCUGCAGGAUUUCACCACUGACUUAAUAGUCCGCCUACGCACCCUUUAAACCCAAUGAAUCCGGAUAACGCUCGCAUCCUCCGUAUUACCGCGGCUGCUGGCACGGAGUUAGCCGAUGCUUAUUCCCAGGGUACCGUCAAUUGCGCAACACGUGCGCAAGUUUCUCUCCCUGGAAAAGCAGUUUACAACGCAUAGCGCCGUCUUCCUGCACGCGGGAUGGCUGGUUCAGGCUUGCGCCCAUUGACCAAUAUUCCUCACUGCUGCCUCCCGUAGGAGU
rnacentral:rRNA from 1 species